CAGCCGUAACCAAUGUGCGUUAGGUGUGUCGGUAACCACGUGUUACUGAUGCGCCGAAGAGAAAUCGUGAAACGCACCACCUGGGAAGUACGGUCGCAAGGCUGAAACUUAAAGGAAUUGGCGGGGGAGCACCACAACAGGUGGAGCCUGCGGUUUAAUUGGAUUCAACGCCGGACAUCUCACCGGAUAAGACAGCUGAAUGAUUGUCAAUCUGAAGGUUUUACAUGACUAGCUGAGAGGAGGUGCAUGGCGUC
rnacentral:rRNA from 1 species